rnacentral:rRNA from 1 species
GUUAGCGGCGGACGGGUGAGUAACACGUGGGUAACCUGCCUGUAAGACUGGGAUAACUCCGGGAAACCGGAGCUAAUACCGGAUAGUUCCUUGAACCGCAUGGUUCAAGGAUGAAAGACGGUUUCGGCUGUCACUUACAGAUGGACCCGCGGCGCAUUAGCUAGUUGGUGAGGUAACGGCUCACCAAGGCGACGAUGCGUAGCCGACCUGAGAGGGUGAUCGGCCACACUGGGACUGAGACACGGCCCAGACUCCUACGGGAGGCAGCAGUAGGGAAUCUUCCGCAAUGGACGAAAGUCUGACGGAGCAACGCCGCGUGAGUGAUGAAGGUUUUCGGAUCGUAAAGCUCUGUUGUUAGGGAAGAACAAGUGCAAGAGUAACUGCUUGCACCUUGACGGUACCUAACCAGAAAGCCACGGCUAACUACGUGCCAGCAGCCGCGGUAAUACGUAGGUGGCAAGCGUUGUCCGGAAUUAUUGGGCGUAAAGGGCUCGCAGGCGGUUUCUUAAGUCUGAUGUGAAAGCCCCCGGCUCAACCGGGGAGGGUCAUUGGAAACUGGGAAACUUGAGUGCAGAAGAGGAGAGUGGAAUUCCACGUGUAGCGGUGAAAUGCGUAGAGA